CCUACGGGUGGCAGCAGUGAGGAAUAUUGGUCAAUGGACGAGAGUCUGAACCAGCCAAGUAGCGUGAAGGAUGACUGCCCUAUGGGUUGUAAACUUCUUUUAUAAAGGAAUAAAACGAGGCACGUGUGCCUUUUUGCAUGUACUUUAUGAAUAAGGAUCGGCGAAGUCCGUGCCAGCAGCCGCGGUAAUACGGAGGAUCCGAGCGUUAUCCGGAUUUAUUGGGUUUAAAGGGAGAGUAGAUGGGUUGUUAAGUCAGUUGGGAAAGUUUGCGGCUCAACCGUAAAAUUGCAAUUGAUACUUGCAGUCUUGAGGACAGUUGAGGGAGGCGGAAUUCGGGGG
rnacentral:rRNA from 1 species